rnacentral:misc_RNA from 1 species
GAAGAAGAGAGAUGGAAUCCAGCGAUUUCGACAGUUUUACAGAUUUUAAUAUCGAUUCAAGCGCUGGUGUUGAACGAGAAGCCGUAUUUCAACGAACCGGAACUAGAAGAAGAAGCGGAGGCAGAGAUUUACUCAGAUGCUUACAAUAAGGAAGCGUACUUGUUCUGUUGCAAGAUGAUGAUGAGAUUGAUGAAGAAUCCGCCGAAGAAUUUCAAGGAAUUUGUGAGGAAUUACUUUGGGGAGAAAGGGAAUAAGAUACUGGCGGCGUGCAAGGCUUAUUCGGACGGCCGGAUUAGGGUUGGGCGGUUCAAUGAAAAGGAAAAUAGUGAAAGUGAAAGUGAUUAUUGU